UGUUCAUCUGUCUGUGGACAUUGUAGAAAUGGUACUUCCUGUUCAAAGACCCAUGGAAUCUGUAAACAGGGGUGUGAGCGCGGAUGGGAGGGUCCCCUCUGUUUGAACGUUACGUCGUCAGCUGUUGAGAGUGUGUUACAAGAAGAAUUAAACUUUUGGAAGACGCUAUUUGUCAUCGUUUCCAGUAUCUCGGCGUUUCUUGCUGUAACUCUUAUAAUAGUAUGCUCAAGAUUUUUUCACACCAGAAGGAAGAGACGUGUUCAAUAUAUAAACAGAAAGCCCCUAUCUAUUGUUGGAAAUGUACAUGAUUAUGAUCGAAUAAGUGCGACAGAUAAUAGAUAUACUUAUAACAAUUUUGAUUCCACAUUACAAAACUACAGACAUGCAUAUAACAGUGGUAAUUCAACAUUAAGAAGCAACAGAAAUACCUAUGAUCAAGUAGAUUCCACACUAGAAGAUCCAGACU